AGGCCAUGAUGGGGACACUUGCGUAAUAGCUCCUUGAACCUUUCCCAUGUUUCAUAUAAGGAUUCCCCGUCCUCUUGUGAGUAUGUAUUAAUUUCAGCCAUUAAUUU
rfam:Helianthus annuus linkage group 8, whole genome shotgun sequence.